rnacentral:rRNA from 1 species
CCUACGGGCGGCAGCAGUCGAGAAUCAUUCACAAUGGGGGAAACCCUGAUGGUGCGACGCCGCGUGGAGGAAUGCAGGUCUUCGGAUUGUAAACCCCUUUCAUGUGGGAGCAAAUUAAAAAGAUAGUACCACAAGAGGAAGAGACUGCUAACUCUGUGCCAGCAGCCGCGGUAAUACAGAGGUCUCAAUCGUUGUUCGGAGUCACUGGGCGUAAAGCGUGCGUAGGCUGUUUCGUAAGUCGUGUGUGAAAGGUGCGGGCUCAACCGGCGGACGGCACAUGAUACUGCGAGACUAGAGUACAGGAGGGGGAAGCGGAAUUCGCGGUGUAGCAGUGAAAUGCGUAGAUAUCGAGAGGAACACUCGUGGCGAAGGCGGGUUCCUGGACAUUAACUGACGCUGAGGCACGAAGGCCAGGGGAGCGAAAGGGAUUAGAUACCCCAGUAGUC